UGGGGAAUAUUGGACAAUGGGCGCAAGCCUGAUCCAGCCAUGCCGCGUGAGUGAUGAAGGCCUUAGGGUUGUAAAGCUCUUUUUGCCGGGGACGAUAAUGACGGUACCCGGAGAAUAAGUCCCGGCUAACUUCGUGCCAGCAGCCGCGGUAAUACGAAGGGGACUAGCGUUGUUCGGAAUCACUGGGCGUAAAGCGCACGUAGGCGGAUUUGUAAGUCAGGGGUGAAAUCCCGGGGCUCAACCUCGGAACUGCCUUCAAAACUGGCGACCUGGACUCAAGCAGAGGCAAGUGGAAUUGCGAGUGUAGAGGUGAAAUUCGUAGAUAUUCGCAGGAACACCAGUGGCGAAGGCGACUUGCUGGGCUGACACUGACGCUGAGGCGCGAAAGCCAGGGGAGCAAACGGGAUUAGAUACCCGCGUAGUCCCUGAGCGGGCUGGCAAGGCGCAU
rnacentral:rRNA from 1 species